rnacentral:ncRNA from 1 species
GGUUGAAGCCGCUGCUUUCAAGAAUUUUUCUCUGUUUGGGUUAUCAGAG